rnacentral:rRNA from 1 species
AUGCAGUUGGUCAUGGGGGGCCAUACUGCCAUUAAUGUCAAUGGGAAAGUUAGUAAUUUCUUUAAGAACUCUAGAGGCCUACGGCAAGGCGACCCUGCCUCGCCUAUUCUCUUUAACUUUGUGGUGGACCAUCUUUCUAAUAUCUUAUCUAGAGCCACGGUGGCUAGUCAUAUCUCUCAUGUGAGCUUGGGGAGUUGGUUGUUGAGGAGCCAUGAGAAGCCGAACCAGGCGUCUGCAACCAUGGACGUGGCCCAGAGCCAAAUGCCAUCGUGGUUCCUGUGCUCUACAUGCCACGCGAAGAAGGCUACGAUGGAGACCAAGCUUACAAGAAUCAAGAACCUGUUGUUACAAUGA